UAUCCACUUUGAUUGUACAACAUUCGACAUUGAUUCUAUUAUCGUUGAGCUACAUUUCACAAUUUUCUUCGGUAUCCUUCUGUUUUUUUAUUUGAUUUCACAAUCUUGCUUGUGCAGGUGUCUGGUUCAAACCACGGGCGUUGAUUGUUCUUGCAGAUCUUUGUGCACAUUUCCCUAGAGCUGAAGAUAUUUCAGGUAGAAGAAGACGAAACUGUGGAAGAAGGAAUCCAUGAAGGCAAGCAUUUUUCUCCUACGGAAAAAAACAUAUAAGAAAUUUGUGGGAGGGAUUGAAAUCUGAAAGUUCUAUCGUACGACUACGAGAGACUGGUAUGGCAAAGUUGUUUUGUUUCUUUCAACAACGAAGGCUUGGAGAUUCACACUGAACCACAAGGGAUAUGAUUUAGUUUAUUGCUAGAACAAGAGUAGAGUUUGUCUUUGUUGACAUAGAAAGGUUUUAAAUAAACUGUAUUGAUUUUUCUAUAGAUGUAUUUAAAGUUGAUCAGUAUUUUAUG